rnacentral:rRNA from 1 species
UAAAUAUCUAAUUAUUAAUUUUAUUUAGUUAAUUUAAUUUAGUAGUUUUUAAAAGAAAGAGAUUUUAUUUUUAUUAAUAUAUAUGAAUAAAUAAAUUUUAUUAUAGUUUAUUGGUAUUGUGAAAGAAUCUAUAUUUUUUAUAAAAAGAAUAAUUUAUUUUUAGUACCUUGUGUAUCAGGGUUUAUUAAUUAAAAUUUAAUAAAAUUAAAUUUCUCGAAUUUAAAAGAGCUAUAUAUAUAUAAUUUUUAGUGUAGAAUAACUAUUAUAAAUAUAAAUAUAGAAGUGAAACGCUAUUCGAUUUUAAAUAUAUCUAGUUUUUAAAGAAAAAAAUUUAAUUUUAUAUUUAUUUAUUAUAAAUUUAAAUUUAUAGAUUUAUAAUAGUAAGUUUAAAUAUUUUAGGGGAUGAGCUUUAAAAUAUAAUUAUAUAAAUAAAUAAAAUUUUAUCUAGUAAGUAGAAUUAUAAGUUUUUAUCUUUUAUAGUGUUUUAUAACUAUCUAGAUUUAAAAUAAAAUUUUUAUUAGUUUUAUAUAUUUUAUUUAAAUAUAGGUUUUAAUUUAAAUGAUUUAGUAAUAAUGAUAAAAUUAGUAUAAUUUUAUGUUUAAAUUAUUUAUUUAUUAAAGGUUUUUAAAAGGAACUCGGCAAAUAAAUUUUUCACCUGUUUAUUAAAAACAUGGCCUUUUGACUAUAAUUUAAGGUCUGGCCUGCCCAAUGAAUAUUAAAUGGCCGCAGUAUACUGACUGUGCAAAGGUAGCAUAAUCAUUAGUUUUUUAAUUGAAAGCUGGAAUGAAAGGUCGGAUGAGAAAAUAACUGUCUCUUAAAAAAUUUAUUAGAACUUUAUUUUUAAGUAAAAAAGCUUAAAUUUUAAUGGAAGACGAGAAGACCCUAUAGAGUUUUAUAUUUAUUUAUUAUGAAAUUUUUAGUAUUUUAAUCUUUAUUUUAAUAUAAUAUUUGGUUGGGGUGAUUAGAAAAUUUACGAAACUUUUCUUUUAUUUUAAACAUUUAUUUAUGAUUAUAUGAUCCUUUUUUAAAGAUUAUAAGAAAAAAUUACCUUAGGGAUAACAGCGUAAUUUUUUUUGAGAGUUCUUAUCGAAAAAAAAGAUUGCGACCUCGAUGUUGGAUUAAAAUAAAUUUUUGGUGUAGAAGCUAAAAUAAUUAGGUCUGUUCGACCUUUAAAAUUUUACAUGAUCUGAGUUUAAACCGGUGUGAGCC